rnacentral:rRNA from 1 species
AGCGAACGCUGGCGGCAGGCUUAACACAUGCAAGUCGAACGAACAUUCCGGGGUUGGCGGCGGCCGGGUGGGUAGCAACUCGUAACGACGUGCUCGGCUCGGCAUAAUACCUGAGAAAAACUUGUGCUAAUACCUGUGACGUUCGGGGGCAAGAAUGUUCAUCUUUAGAAGGGCCGGCCGCCGUUUGGUUAGUUGGUUGGUGAGGUGAUGGCUCACCAAGGCGACGAGCAGUAGCUGGUCUGAGAGGAUGAUCAGCCACAUUGGGACUGAGACACGGCCCAGACUCCUACGGGAGGCAGCAGUGGGGAAUCUUGGACAAUGGGCGAAAGCCUGACGCAGCCAUGCCGCGUGAGUGAUGAAGGUCUUAGGAUUGUAAAGUUCUUUCACCCGGGACGAUAAUGACGGUACCCGGAGAAUAAGCCCCGGCUAACUUCGUG